rnacentral:rRNA from 1 species
AUUGAACGCUGGCGGCAGGCCUAACACAUGCAAGUCGAGCGGAGCGGCGGACGGGUGAGUAAUGCCUAGGAAUCUGCCUGGUAGUGGGGGAUAACGUCCGGAAACGGGCGCUAAUACCGCAUACUCUCAGAUGAGCCUAGGUCGGAUUAGCUAGUUGGUGGGGUAAAGGCCUACCAGGGCGACGAUCCGUAACUGGUCUGAGAGGAUGAUCAGUCACACUAGAACUGAGAAACGGUCCAGAAUCCUACGGGAGGCAGCAGUGGGGAAUAAUGGACAAUGUGCGAAAGCCUGCUCCAGCCGUGCCGCAUGUGUGAAGAAGGUCUUCGGAUUAUAAAGAAAUAUAAGUUGGGGGGCGGUACCAACAGAAUAAGCACCGGAGAACUGCGUGCCAGAGGCCGCGGUAAUAC